UUUAAAUUGGUUAAUACUAACUCUUUUGCUGCUGGUGUGAGUGUGGCUAAUGUUAAAAAUAAACUUCUCUUUACUACAUAGCUGAUCAAAUUUCGCAACAUAUAUCACCGAUCAAUCUCCUUCGAGCCUCCCUCUUCAACGCGACACUGGCGAAACAAUCAGUGCCCAGUUGGCACACCUAAAAGCCACUGCUUGGAAAUUGAAUUGAAUU